AUGGAAGGCUCUUUUGCGUCCUGGUUUUCCGAGAGAAGUACAGGGAGUAAUUUUAAAGAUUCCUCUGGUACUUCUAAUGAUAAUGAGCCAUCUGGGGAGCAGGGCAAAGCAACAAACUUUCCACAGGGUUUUUUUUUUUUUCCUAAUCCAGGAAGUUGUUCCUUAAGGGAAAGGAUAUUUAGAAACAGUUCUUCCAGCCAGGACUUUAGAGUCCUGUUGCUGAGAUUUAAAAACAGCUGUUUUCUGUCUAUCAGAGUCACAGAGCUGGGAAGUAUCUGAGGUCCGAUUUGAACCCAGGACCUUCUGCCUCUAGGGCUGGCUCUCAAUCCGCUGAGCUACCCAGCUGUCCCUUAAGAUUAAAGGGAAGAAAAAGAAAAAACUGCUGAUUCCAAUUUAACUUAAGGAGAAAAGAGAAAAAGUUUUUUAUACUCACGUGUUCUAGCAGCUGUGUCUUUAAGCCAAGUUUUUUUGUUAAAAAAAAAGAACUAAGUGGUGAAACAGUAUAGUAAAAAGGCAAGGAAAAAGUUUUAUUGAGAGGAUUCUUUAGACUCCCGUGUGGUCAGCCACAAUGUUACAAGGGAAUCACUUUAAAAGACUGAUAUAUAUUAAUUUAAGGUCGCCAAGGAAUCAGCUAUGUAAUUCCUAAAUGAAAAACUCAAGUCAGCCGUCAGCCCUUUUUGGAGUUUAAUUACAAUAGGAGCAAGAAAGGAAUUAGAUAUAUAUAUAGAGAGAGAGAAAAGGGGAGAGAAGGGAAUAGGGCUUAAAUACCCCUUCUGUUUAGGCUGGGCCAAAAGGCCCAAGCCCUUAGAUAGCUGGGGCAAAGAAAAGAGAUCAGUCCCUAUUACUCACGUGUCCAAAAUGGAGAAACAGUCUCAGAGGCCCCCACCUCCAGCUUCCUUCAGAGCAAGCUUCCUCAGAGCCCAGGAACCACCGACCAAAAACUCAACCCCCUCCAGUCUCCAGACCCUCCUAUCUUUAAGGACACCAUCCAAGUUGCCUCCCCUCAGUCCUCACAUCUACCAAUCACUCUUCAUCAAUUUCCCUGUCAAUGGAGGCUCUCGCUUAACCCAGGACCGCCCAGAGGUUUCUGGCUUUUUGCACAUGUCUGUUGAAGGUCAUAUUUUCCAAUGAUUAAAUCUAUACUCCUUUGCUACAGCCCUUUCUAAAUCCUGUUAACUUGAGUAUGGUAGAGAUUGGAAUAAUUAAAUUUUGAUCUAGGCUGCAGCCCUUACUCAAUCCUAUUAGGACUGAAUAGGGUGGAGAUUUAUUCCAAGUAUCU
rnacentral:lncRNA from 1 species